ACUCGUGUCAAAUUCCGACCGUACCAACUUGAGAAUGCCUGUUCUCGGAAGCUCAGCGGGUUGGGCCUGGUUAGGACUUGGAUGGGAGACUGCGGGGAAUACCAGGUGUGUGCGAGCU
rnacentral:rRNA from 1 species